CUGGGCACUUCCCCCACCCCGCAGUAGCAGCGGCGGCGCCGCACCCUAGUUAGCCUGCCCCCGCUGCGCCCGCGCGGCGGGGCGCGUUCGAUCAGCCCUGCGCCUAUGUUGCGCGCUCCCAUUUCCCUCCCUCCUCCUCCUUCUCCUUCUCCCCACCCUUGGCCGAACGAGACGAGCUGCGAGGGAGGGGCUGCUGCGACGCGCUCCCGCUGUGGUAGAGUGGGGAAUUGAACCCAAGUAUCCCACAUCAGUGCUGUAACCAUUGGACUACCACCAGCAGCUUUUGAAUGGGACCUACUCUGGUGGUAAUACAGCACUGGAUAUAUUUAAGAAACAGCCUCCUGAUUUUAUUAGCGAGACAAGGUAAAAGUGGAAAGACCAGAGCAGGAACGCCCCCUCUAAUGAUGAUCACCUGUUGAGAGAUCCACCGGACUCUAGGGGAUUUCAGACACUCUGGUCUCAAGAGCCUGUGCUUGGUUUCUGAGGGCCAUGAAUUGCUUACACCGAAGGCACAUGUAGGCCACCUACCCACAAGUAAGAGAGAGACACAGACAAGAAUGAGAACUUGCUAUUUAAGCACUGAGCCAUUGACAGGUGUCAAUCCACAUAAAAGGAACCAACUCUUCCUCUCCCUUCCUUGUCCUCAGUCUGCAAAGUUUUAACAAGUUAAUCUCUCAUCCAAUAUAAAUCCAAUCACACCUCUAACUGUCUUUGCUGCUCUUCUCCAAUCUCUGCUUUAUCUUUCUUGCGGGGAGCCAGUGACAACUGAGCUCAGUAAUCCAGAUGGUAAUGAACAAGAUUUCUUCGACGCUGGUGGCAGUAAAGGAAAAUUAAUGAAAGUUUUCUACAUAGUUCUUAAGAGCAAAAGUCUGCAAAGAUCUGAGGGAAGUUUGUGCUCGAGAUGCAAAUGGCAGGCCUUCAUCCAUCUCCCAUAUGAGCCUGUACACACAUUAUUAUAAGAAUAACUGGAUUCUUUGAGAAGGCCACCUAAAUCAGAAAGACCAGAAGCUACUGACCCGAGCAAGAACUCCAGUGAUUGCCCUGGACUCCUCCAAUACGGACUGAUCUGCCAGCUUCCUGAUGGCUCGUGCACCCUUGACUACUGCUAUGGAUCAUCCCCCUACCCUGCCUCGGCCACCAAGCAUUACACCCAUCCAACUAUUAAGUCUCUGGGACUGCUUCCUCUCUUCCUGCUACAAGGCCAUUUGUUUAUUCAAAGAUCCCUGGAAUGGGUUCUUCUGGCCCUCUCUGGCAUUAAUAGCCAGUAUACCCUUUUACAGGGAGAAUUUAAACACUACUCUAGAGUGUCAUAAACAUAAACACAAAAGCAUUGUGUUAGAGCAUGAGAAUGAGAAAGUGAAACUGACACAAACCAGGGAAGUGAAACUUUCAGUCUACUAUCAUUAUCAAAGCUGAGUAAAAUGUAAAAAAGUAAGUGGUAUUCAUUCACUUUUAGUAUUCUAAGACAGCAGUUUAACAACUAUGGUUUGUGAAUCACUGGCUGCAUGGUGCUGGUGAUCCUUGUUUCCAGUUUUUAAAUUGCAUUAAAAGACAGUUAAACAUAGCAAAUGAUUUUCUAAUAUUAAAUGUCUGUGUAAGCAAAUUGCUGUAGUUCCACAGGGAUGUCAUGCUGGAGUGAACUGAAGGGGAGGUGGUCUGUAUAGUCAUGAAUGGCAGAGAGGUGAUCUCUCAAUUUAAGAUGUGGUUCACAUUGCAAACUAAUUUGAAGAUAGCAGAUCCAAAUUGUUAUAAAUGAUAGCAGGCAAGUAUCUUAUUAUUUUGCUGUAAAUAUGUUUCUUAUUUUGUACAGAGGAUGAAAUGCCCAAGAAAAAUACUUAUCUGAUGAACUUAUCAUAAUUGAAAAUUAAGAGAAAUAACCUAUUAUUUUUAAUGUUAAAAAUUAGAUAGACAUGUAUAAUAUUACAGCUGCAACCUUGCAGUCAGUUCCAUUUGGUAUUAUUGCGUUUAAACAGAUUCAUGGGCACAGU